GCGCCUGUAGCUCAGUUGGAUAGAGUACUUGGCUUCGAACCAAGGGGUCGGGAGUUCGAAUCUUCCCGGGCGCACCA
rnacentral:tRNA from 3 species